AAAUGGUGACGUUAACCAAGAGAAUGUUGAACUUUGGUCCUAUCUAUUAUGUUGGCCAGUUUCUAAGUUGAGAUCAACUUAACCCCAGUGCUUUCUGUUUAACGACCUUGUUCGUAUUUUUGUUUACAACUAGCACACUUUUGACCAGCAUGUCGCUUGGAAAUCGUUACCAGCAUAACUCUUAUUCGUAAGGCUCACUCUGGAGGCUUGUCUUGGUUCAAGGAAUGCCUUCGUGUCACGGUAUGAGAACAAGUAGAAUAGCAUCAGCAUUUUUAAUUAAACUUGGCUUUUCUGCACAAGGAGACCAAAAUUUCUAACAAACACGUUAAUUCCACACCACAAACUGACGUGUAAUCUUGGCUCUGUAUGCCUCGCAAAAAGCAGGUUUACGCCACCUUUGCCACUGAUUGCCCAUCGUCUGACACGUAUAAUGACGCAAAGGCCUCGUACAAAUGGUAAAUGUGUGAAGUUACCCAGAAGAAGGCUGAACCAUGGUUCUAUCGCAUAGGCAGUUGAGUCCCUGAGUUGCGCUUCAGGUAUAAGUUGUCCACGCUUCACUCUCACGCACUGGGGUGAGAUCUACCAUUUGAUCUUGAAAAUCUCCCUUAAUGUCCAGGGAAGGGAAACCAGCCAGGUUAUGCCUUUAAAGGGCUCGUGCCUUGUCCUCUGAAAGAGCUCUUGCCCAGAUGUCAGACACUAGUCGCAACAGUCACAGCCCACCACCUGUCUCCGAGUUCCAAUGCGUCUUGAUCGCCACGCCGAUGAACAAGUAUGCCUUGCACCAUGAUGCGCUAUAGGCUUCGAGCUGGGACCUCGUGGCACAACGGUAGUGCGUCUGACUCCAGAGCAGAAGGUUCAAAUCAUGUCGGGGUCAUUCAAUGUGCUCUUUUUCACACAGACCCAUGAUUUUCUGCGCAGUCUAAUAAGGAUGCUGUUAUAUGGACUCCAAUCUCUAUGAUGACCACCCAUGUCUUUGUCAACUUCAUGCUAAAAGGUAACAAAGCUUAGGUAGCGACACUCUCACCUAGUAACCAUUAGUAACUUGACAACCUGCUGAAUGUUUACCCUUAGUUUGCCCAUUUUGCUUGCUGAACAAAGCAUGCUGGAAAGAGGCACCUUAGAUGGUUUCACUGGACCUCUCAGAGGAUCUGGAGGGUACUACAACACCCAAACAGGGACUUGAACCUUGGACCCUCAGAUUAAAAGUCUGAUGCUCUACCGACUGAGCUACCUGGGCUCGAGGAGAGAGAGAGCCCACUUUACCCUCGAGCUUGUAGGUCAGGCCUGUGGACGCUCUAGUUCAACGGUUCUCACAGACAUAAAUGGUGCUCAGCCCUUGGCUUGGAAAGGGCCCAUCCCAUCUGGUUCUCAUGGCUUUCUACAAACUAUUAACACAGCUCAGCACCACUAUUCAAGGAUACAAACCAACAGGGUUCAACCACGGCUCUGUCCUUCAUACUUCUUUACCCACUGACUGCCUGCAGUCUGAGACAUACAAAGAGACAAGGUUCUUGUGAAACCUGUAAAAUGGUGACGUUAACCAAGAGAAUGUUGAACUUUGGUCCUAUCUAUUAUGUUGGCCAGUUUCUAAGUUGAGAUCAACUUAACCCCAGUGCUUUCUGUUUAACGACCUUGUUCGUAUUUUUGUUUACAACUAGCACACUUUUGACCAGCAUGUCGCUUGGAAAUCGUUACCAGCAUAACUCUUAUUCGUAAGGCUCACUCUGGAGGCUUGUCUUGGUUCAAGGAAUGCCUUCGUGUCACGGUAUGAGAACAAGUAGAAUAGCAUCAGCAUUUUUAAUUAAACUUGGCUUUUCUGCACAAGGAGACCAAAAUUUCUAACAAACACGUUAAUUCCACACCACAAACUGACGUGUAAUCUUGGCUCUGUAUGCCUCGCAAAAAGCAGGUUUACGCCACCUUUGCCACUGAUUGCCCAUCGUCUGACACGUAUAAUGACACAAAGGCCUCGCACAAAUGGUAAAUGUGUGAAGUUACCCAGAAGAAGGCUGAACCAUGGUUCUAUCGCAUAGGCAGUUGAGUCCCUGAGUUGCGCUUCAGGUAUAAGUUGUCCACGCUUCACUCUCACACACUGGGGUGAGAUCUACCAUUUGAUCUUGAAAAUCUCCCUUAAUGUCCAGGGAAGGGAAACCAGCCAGGUUAUGCCUUUAAAGGGCUCGUGCCUUGUCCUCUGAAAGAGCUCUUGCCCAGAUGUCAGACACUAGUCGCAACAGUCACAGCCCACCACCUGUCUCCGAGUUCCAAUGCGUCUUGAUCGCCACGCCGAUGAACAAGUAUGCCUUGCACCAUGGUGCGCUAUAGUUUUUGCGCUUGGACCUCGUGGCGCAAUGGUAGCGCGUCUGACUCCAGAUCAGAAGGUUGUGUGUUCAAAUCACGUCGGGGUCAUUCAAUGUGCUCUUUUUCACACAGACCCAUGAUUUACUGCGCAGUCUAAUAAGGAUGCUGUUAUAUGGACUCCAAUCUCUAUGAUGACCACCCAUGUCUUUGUCAACUUCAUGCUAAAAGUGCCCAAAGCCCGUGGUGGUGGCAGUGCAUGGCGUUUGUGUGGAAGCAGGAGUGGAUCUAAUCACAGCCUGUGAUAUUCGUCUGUGCACACAGGAGGCCUGGUUUCAGGUGAAGGUAUGAGGAACAUUAACUUGCCAUACAUUGCUUGCUUACAUGUUUACACCAAGAUCUGUAAACAAGCUAUUUUUGUCCAUAUGAUCAUAUAUAGAGAUAGUAAGUGAUGAGAAGAUAAGAAUGGGCUGAUUGUUCCGACUCGUACAAGCCCCUAUGAAAGAGUUGACCACAAGGGGGCACACUCUGAACAAUUAUUUACAUUUGCAGUUUGUUGAAGAUUAAAUAAACCACAGUGAGCAUCAGAUGUCUGGUUUUAAUACAAAGUUUUAUGAUGAACUAUUUUAUGAUAUUACCAUCUUGUCAUUUAUCAAAGAAGAGCUACAAAACCUGAAAUUUGUUCAUUUUUAGACAGAAAAAUUCUGCAGUGUAGCUCUUCUAGUGGGCUUUCCCACUGGAUGUUUAGUCCAAAACAGAGCAGUUUGCAUGGAAAGUUGGUAAUGUGACCGUCGUAAUGUGGACUGGGAAGUGCACUGCGGUACCGAACCCGAGACUACCUGUAGAAGGUGGUCCGAGUUCAGUUACAAUGGAACUGUGAAUGUGAAUUGUCCCAUGAAUGUGAACGUAACUUGUAUCCGGGUCUGCACUUUUUCAGGAAGUAGAGUAACCUGUGCUGAAGGCCUGUUGUGGUGAUGACGUGUCAUGACAUGUUUUGGCCCAAAUCUGCAGUGACUUUGAAAAAGUGGAAGCUCCUCUGAAUAUUGUGGAGUUUCUUGAUUUUGUGUUAAUUUCUAUGAUCACAAAAAGGUGAAAUUCUAGACUGACACAUGGAAGAUAUGGAAUGAUAACAGAAGAAUGUGACGUUGGGUUGUACCGUGUAUUUUUUUCAUGUAGCUUAAUUGUUUAGUAUAAAUGAAGGCAAGUGUGUGUUCUGUUCAUCUCUGCAGUCGUGUGUUCCCUGAUAGUCAAUGAUUGCUGGAGCUCUGGAAAUAGCAGGUGAGAUUGCAGGCCGGAGUCGCGUCGCUGUCUAGGGAACCAAAGUCAACCUCCCCUACUCCUGAGACCACAGUGUGACUGAGAGCCUAGACUACAUGGCUACUUGGAACAUGAACAUGUUGCAGACACAGGAUCUUAUGAAGUCAGCGCAGGCAGCCCUGGAAAAGAAGAGUCCGAAAGACGUGCCCUUCUCCAAGCUUUAAAGGAGAAGAUCCAGGGCUGUUGAAGCUGCGGUGGAACUGAGACUUCAUCAUCCCCAUAUCUUUAGUUUUUCUUGCUAAGUCUCAGUUUCUUUUUAGUCUUUUUAUUUUUAGACUGGUCAAAAGACUGAUUAGUGGAAGUGAAAUGAUAGAUGAACUUUUAAUUACUUGCUUUAUUAUUUGCAGGGGCCUUGUACAGUAAGACAGGGUAACUAAUACUCAAAAGCUUGUUUUGUGUGUUAACAUGUACAGUAGAUGGACAUAUUUUUUCUGGUCCUGUGUGACUGCAGAAUGUAGUGCAGUUAACACAGUAAAUUUCCUUGGAUGCUCACUUUUAACUCGAGGAGGUCACAGUUUGCCCAGACAUCUUUUAUUUAAAUCCGUCAAUCUGUCACCCACACGUCAUUCUGGGGGACGAAGAGGAGGAAGCUGGACAGAUACAUUUAUUUAUUAUUGCUGUUUCCUCAAUCCAGUGCAGAAAGAAGAAAAACUACACAACUGAUUUAAAAUAAAAAUAUAGAAAACAAUCUAAUGUAAGGUUCUGAUCCGGUUUGCUUUCAGCAGGAAGGCUGUCCUCUUUCCUGUUGCUCUUUCCCUUCUAUUAGUCCAUUUGUCCAGUCUGAAUCGGUUUGAUUGUUUGAUUCGUUUCGAGACGAUUCAGAGUCAAAUAAUUUUCUAGUGAGAGUCGCACACUUCCAAACGAACUAGACUGAGAUGAGUAUUUGAUUCUCACUAGAAAGUGAUUAGACUCUGAAUAAACUCGAAAUGAAUCAGUCAAACUGAUUCAGACUUGAUAAAAGGACUAUGAGAUGUGAUUAAGAUAUAUAUUCCAAUGUUUUGCUUUACAAUUCCACUGUGUGUGUGUGCGCGCCUGUGUGUGUUUUUCAGGGGAAUGAGAAAAUCUGACACAACAGUACAUACUGACCAUUGGUACUGUGUACACAUCAACAUACACACACGUCUCCAUGCUGGACAUCUCAGGAGGUUUCACACACAGUGCUAGGAAUAUCCCGGGACAGAGAAACGCACCUCCUAAGUGAGUGAGUUUAGCGUCAACCGGUGAAAUUUGCUGUUGCGUGAACGCUUCGCCUCUGUGAGCUUCACUCUCUGUCAGGUUCCCUGUAAUUAGACAUAAAAUGUACAUAAUUAUUUUGCAUACAUUUAGGAUUUAAUGUUUUUUUUUUUUUUUUUAACUCUUCGAGGAACAGAAAUGAUCUUUCGAGGCAGCUUCUUCAUCACUACCUGCUCCGUUUGACUCAAAAAUGUAACGACCGGUUUCAAAAAGUCACGAUGUCUUCAGUUCAUGAGAUUUUACUGUUGAAUUUAAACAGGAAAUGUGAAAUAUUUUUGUUCCUUUAUGUUUCCUCUACUGUCUUUUUGCUGUGAUAUUGAACACAGUUGUAUUUUUUUUAAAAGAAUACAUAAAUGAUCAUUCUAUUUC